rnacentral:rRNA from 1 species
GACGAACGCUGGCGGCGUGCCUAACACAUGCAAGUCGAGCGAUGAAGCUUCUUCGGAAGUGGAUUAGCGGCGGACGGGUGAGUAACACGUGGGUAACCUGCCUCAUAGUGGGGAAUAGCCUUUCGAAAGGAAGAUUAAUACCGCAUAAGAUUGUAGCUUCGCAUGAAGUAGCAAUUAAAGGAUUUAUUCGCUAUGAGAUGGACCCGCGGCGCAUUAGCUAGUUGGUGAGGUAACGGCCCACCAAGGCGACGAUGCGUAGCCGACCUGAGAGGGUGAUCGGCCACAUUGGAACUGAGACACGGUCCAGACUCCUACGGGAGGCAGCAGUGGGGAAUAUUGCACAAUGGGGGGAAACCCUGAUGCGAGCAACGCCGCGUGAGUGAUGACGGUCUUCGGAUUGUAAAGCUCUGUCUUUAGGGACGAUAAUGACGGUACCU